rnacentral:rRNA from 1 species
GGCAAUAGCGGCGUGCUAUACAUGCAGUCGAACGAACGGAGGAAGAGCUUGCUCUUCCAAUGUUAGUGGCGGACGGGUGAGUAACACGUGGGCAACCUGCCUGUAAGUUGGGGAUAACUCCGGGAAACCGGGGCUAAUACCGAAUAAUAAGAUGUGGCGCAUGCCACGCCUUUGAAAGAUGGUUUCGGCUAUCGCUUACAGAUGGGCCCGCGGUGCAUUAGCUAGUUGGUAGGGUAAUGGCCUACCAAGGCAACGAUGCAUAGCCGACCUGAGAGGGUGAUCGGCCACACUGGGACUGAGACACGUCCCAGACUCCCUACGGGAGGCAGGCAGUAGGGAAUCUUCCGCCAAUGACGAAAGUCUGACGGAGCAACGCCGCGUGUAUGAAGAAGGUUUUUCGAUCGUAAAGUACUGUUGUUAGAGAAGAACAAGGAUAAGAGUAACUGCUUGUCCCUUGACGGUAUCUAAACCAGAAAGCCACGGCUAACUACGUGCCAGCAGCCGCGGUAAUACGUAGGUGGCAAGCGUUGUCCGGAUUUAUUGGGCGUAAAGCGCGCGCAGGCGGUCUUUUAAGUCUGAUGUGAAAGCCCCCGGCUUAACCGGGGAGGGUCAUUGGAAACUGGAAGACUGGAGUGCAGAAGAGGAGAGUGGAAUUCCACGUGUAGCGGUGAAAUGCGUAGAUAUGUGGAGGAACACCAGUGGCGAAGGCGACUCUCUGGUCUGUAACUGACGCUGAGGCGCGAAAGCGUGGGGAGCAAACAGGAUUAGAUACCCUGGUAGUCCACGCCGUAAACGAUGAGUGCUAAGUGUUAGGGGGUUUCCGCCCCUUAGUGCUGCAGCUAACGCAUUAAGCACUCCGCCUGGGGAGUACGACCGCAAGGUUGAAACUCAAAGGAAUUGACGGGGGCCCGCACAAGCGGUGGAGCAUGUGGUUUAAUUCGAAGCAACGCGAAGAACCUUACCAGGUCUUGACAUCCUUUGACCACUCUGGAGACAGAGCUUUCCCUUCGGGGACAAAGUGACAGGUGGUGCAUGGUUGUCGUCAGCUCGUGUCGUGAGAUGUUGGGUUAAGUCCCGCAACGAGCGCAACCCUUGAUUUUAGUUGCCAGCAUUUAGUUGGGCACUCUAAAGUGACUGCCGGUGCAAGCCGGAGGAAGGUGGGGAUGACGUCAAAUCAUCAUGCCCCGUUAUGACCUGGGCUACACACGUGCUACAAUGGAUG